UAGGGAAUCUUCCACAAUGGACGCAAGUCUGAUGGAGCAACGCCGCGUGAGUGAAGAAGGUUUUCGGAUCGUAAAGCUCUGUUGUUGGUGAAGAAGGAUAGAGGCAGUAACUGGUCUUUAUUUGACGGUAAUCAACCAGAAAGUCACGGCUAACUACGUGCCAGCAGCCGCGGUAAUACGUAGGUGGCAAGCGUUGUCCGGAUUUAUUGGGCGUAAAGCGAGCGUAGGCGGAAUGAUAAGUCUGAUGUGAAAGCCCACGGCUCAACCGUGGAACUGCAUCGGAAACUGUCAUUCUUGAGUGCAGAAGAGGAGAGUGGAAUUCCAUGUGUAGCGGUGGAAUGCGUAGAUAUAUGGUAGAACACCAGUGGCGAAGGCGGCUCUCUGGUCUGCAACUGACGCUGAGGCUCGAAAGCAUGGGUAGCGAACAGG
rnacentral:rRNA from 1 species